UGGUGUGAAUUGCAGAAUCCCGUGAACCAUCGAGUCUUUGAACGCAAGUUGCGCCCGAAGCCACUAGGCUGAGGGCACGUCUGCCUGGGUGUCA
rnacentral:rRNA from 1 species